rnacentral:rRNA from 1 species
GGAAAGAGCCCAAACCAAUGUGCUUGCAUAUUGGGGUUGUAGGACUCUCAAUAAAGUGUAUGACAAAGUAUAGUAGAACUAGCUGGAAAGUUAGACCGUAGAAGGUAAAAGUCCUGUAUACGAAAUGCUAAGUUGGCGCGAGAGAGCACCUGAGUACGGCGGAACACGAGGAAUUCCGUCGGAAUCUACCAGGACCAUCUGGUAAGGCUAAAUACUACCUAGUGACCGAUAGUGAACCAGUACCGUGAGGGAAAGGUGAAAAGAACCCCGGGAGGGGAGUGAAAGAGAACCUGAAACCGUGUGCUUACAAGUAGUCAGAGCCCCUUGAGGGUGAUGGCGUGCCUUUUGUAGAAUGAACCGGCGAGUUACUUUAUCAUGCGAGGUUAAGUGGAAGACAUGGAGCCGCAGCGAAAGCGAGUCUUAAUAGGGCGAAAUAGUAUGAUGGAGUAGACCCGAAACCAAGUGAUCUACCCAUGGCCAGGUUGAAGUUUAGGUAACACUGAAUGGAGGACCGAACCAGGACACGUUGAAAAGUGUUUGGAUGAGCUGUGGGUAGCGGAGAAAUUCCAAUCGAACUUGGAAAUAGCUGGUUCUCUCCGAAAUAGCUUUAGGGCUAGCCUCGUUGUGAGUUUACUGGAGGUAGAGCACUGUUUGGACUAGGGGCCCAUCCCGGGUUACCGAAUUCAGACAAACUCCGAAUGCCAGAUAAAUAUCAACGGGAGUCAGACUGCGGGUGAUAAGGUUCGUAGUCGAAAGGGAAACAGCCCAGACCGCCAGCUAAGGUCCCAAAUUGUAUGUUAAGUGGAAAAGGAUGUGAUGAUGCACAGACAACCAGGAUGUUGGCUUAGAAGCAGCCACCAUUUAAAGAGUGCGUAAUAGCUCACUGGUCGAGUGACAUCGCGCCGAAAAUGUACCGGGGCUAAACAUACAACCGAAGCUGCGGAUAUAACUAAUGUUAUAUGGUAGGAGAGCGUUCUAACAUCAUAGAAGCCGAACUGGAAGGUGAGGUGGAGAGGUUAGAAGUGAGAAUGCCGGUGUGAGUAGCGAAAGAUAGGUGAGAAUCCUAUCCACCGAAUGACUAAGGUUUCCAGAGGAAGGCUCGUCCGCUCUGGGUAAGUCGGGACCUAAGGUGAAGCCGAAUGGUGAAGCCGAUGGACAACAGGUAGAAAUUCCUGUACCACCAAAUAUCGAUUGAGAGAAGUGGGGACAGAGGAGGCUAAUUGAUCGUCCUGAUGGAAUAGGACGUCUAAGCACAAAGGUUGAGUAGUAGGCAAAUCCGCUGCUCAUAAGACUGAAGUGUGAUGGGGAGCGAAAUUUAGUAGCGAAGUCAAUGAAGCUAAACUCUCAAGAAAAGCCGCUAUCGAGAUAAGAGGUGCCCGUACCGCAAACCGACACAGGUAGUUGGGAAGAGAAUUCUAAGGUGAGCGAGAGAACCAUCGUUAAGGAACUCGGCAAAAUGACCCCGUAACUUCGGGAGAAGGGGUGCCUACGAGAGUAGGCCGCAGUGAAUAGGCCCAAGCGACUGUUUAACAAAAACACAGGUCUCUGCAAAACCGUAAGGUGAAGUAUAGGGGCUGACGCCUGCCCGGUGCUGGAAGGUUAAGAGGAGUGCUUAGCGAAAGCGAAGGUAUGAAUUGAAGCCCCAGUAAACGGCGGCCGUAACUAUAACGGUCCUAAGGUAGCGAAAUUCCUUGUCGGGUAAGUUCCGACCCGCACGA